AGAAACAGGUUUUCAAAGAAGAAAAAAGGCCUCGAAAAGGCAAAACUUAAACUGGUUGCCUAAAGGACUGAAUAACAACAGUAAAAUCGCUAAGCAAUUGUUGGCAUUGUUGGCCUGAUCUCAAAUCCUUCAACAAUAAGCCCUCCUUUUGCAUGAAAAUCAGGUAUCACAUCUUCAAUUGUAAACUCUAUGCAAUCAUCUUCAUUUUCAGUCGAAAAAUUACCCAAUUCUAACUCGAACCAGCCACCAUCUCUAAGUUUCGGAACUGGUUUAUGAUCAAGCUCCAUGUUACUAGGAUGAUCCGGAUUCAAAGAAGCGAACCGCACGUUUGCAGAUUUGUCACCAAUAAAUUCAACUGAAAUCUCCACUUUUCUAUCAUCAAACCCAUAAGAAUAAUAAUCUUCUAACUUGUAAACAAGGUAAGCUGUGUA
rnacentral:misc_RNA from 1 species